AUUGAACGCUGGCGGCGUGCCUUACACAUGCAAGUCGAACGGCAGCGGACCUUCGGGUGCCGGCGAGUGGCGAACGGGUGAGUAACACGUGGGUGAUCUGCCCUGCACUUUGGGAUAAGCCUGGGAAACUGGGUCUAAUACCGAAUAUGAUCAUGCUCUUCAUGGGGUGUGGUGGAAAGCUUUUGCGGUGUGGGAUGGGCCCGCGGCCUAUCAGCUUGUUGGUGGGGUAAUGGCCUACCAAGGCGACGACGGGUAGCCGGCCUGAGAGGGUGACCGGCCACACUGGGACUGAGAUACGGCCCAGACUCCUACGGGAGGCAGCAGUGGGGAAUAUUGCACAAUGGGCGCAAGCCUGAUGCAGCGACGCCGCGUGAGGGAUGACGGCCUUCGGGUUGUAAACCUCUUUCAGCAGGGACGAAGCGAAAGUGACGGUACCUGCAGAAGAAGGACCGGCCAACUACGUGCCAGCCGCCGCCGUAACAC
rnacentral:rRNA from 1 species